AUUGAACGCUGGCGGCAGGCCUAACACAUGCAAGUCGAGCGAGCGGCGGACGGGUGAGGAAUGUCUGGGAAACUGCCGGAUGGAGGGGGAUAACUACUGGAAACGGUAGCUAAUUACCCAUACCAUCAGAUGUGCCCAGAUGGGAUUAGCUAGUAGGUGGGGUAACGGCUCACCAAGGCGACGAUCCCUAGCCGGUCUGAGAGGAUGACCAGCCACACUGGAACUGAGACACGGUCCAGACUCCUACGGUAGGCAGCAGUGGGGAAUAUUGCACAAUGGGCGCAAGCCUGAUGCAGCCAUGCCGCGUGUGUGAAGAAGGCCUUCGGGUUGUAAAGCACUUUCAGCGGUGAGGCGUUACCCGCAGAAGAAGCACCGGCUAACUCCGUGCCAGCAGCCGCGGUAAUUC
rnacentral:rRNA from 1 species